GAUAAUAGUUAAAUAUAACAUUUGAUUUGCAUUCAAAAAGUGCUGACUAAUCAGCUUAUCUU
rnacentral:tRNA from 1 species